GGAUUCUGGUCAUGGCCAGGUGACUGCCAUGAGGACAGAGGCAUCUGGCGUUAGUUCCUGGAUGAAGCUCUGAAGUCAAGUGGAUCCUAUACAAACCAGAAAGACAAAGGAAUAUGAGGAGACCUCAUCAGGAUGGAAAUCACAAUUUUAAGGCAGAUACAUGUUUUUGGAAGAUCAACCUUAUGCAAUAUUGAGUUCAUGAAAAUGAGGAGGUCUAAAAGUAGGGUGACCAACCAUCCUGGUUUGACAAAGACUGAUAGAUAUUUCCUGGGGUGCAGGACCUUCAGUGCUAAGACUGGGGAAGUUUCAGAAAAUGCACUGAUAGUGGAAAUCUAAAGUAUACUCAGAAAUAUGUUGAUCGUCUUAUCUAAAAGAUGGUGACAGAUUGUGGUAGCUAGUCUCCAAAGACGGUUCCCCAAUAAAUUAUACCUUCCUGAA
rnacentral:lncRNA from 1 species